rnacentral:rRNA from 1 species
GAUCCUGGCUCAGGAUGAACGCUGGCGGCGUGCUUAACACAUGCAGGUCGAACGAAGCACUUUAAUUGAUUUCUUCGGAAUGAAGUUUUUGUGACUGAGUGGCGGACGGGUGAGUAACGCGUGGGUAACCUGCCUCAUACAGGGGGAUAACAGUUGGAAACGACUGCUAAUACCGCAUAAGCGCACGGGAUUGCAUGAUCCAGUGUGAAAAACUCCGGUGGUAUGAGAUGGACCCGCGU